rnacentral:rRNA from 1 species
AUUGAACGCUGGCGGCAGGCCUAACACAUGCAAGUCGAGCGAGCGGCGGACGGGUGAGUAAUGUAUGGGGACUGCCCGAUAGAGGGGGAUAACUACUGGAAACGGUAGCUAAUACCGCAUACUAUCGGAUAACCCAUAUGGGAUUAGCUAGUAGGUGAGGUAAUGGCUCACCUAGGCGACGAUCCCUAGCUGGUCUGAGAGGAUGACCAGCCGCACUGGGACUGAGACACGGCCCAGACUCCAAGGGAGGCAGCAGUGGGGAAUAUAGCACGAUGGGCGCAAGCCUGAUGCAGCCAUACCGCGUGUAUGAAGAAGGCACUAGGGUUGUAAAGUACUUUCGGUAGGGAGGCGUUACCGACAGGAGAAGCACCGGCUAACUCCGUGCCAACAGCCGCGGUAAUUC